rnacentral:tRNA from 1 species
UCCCUGGUGGUCCAGUGGUUAGAACUCAGUGUUUUCACUUCUGGGGCUCAGGUUCAAUCCCUGGUCAGGGGA